rnacentral:lncRNA from 1 species
GGGGGCUGGGGGGAGGGGGCAGCUGCUAUCUUUGAGACAGAAAGAUGCAGGACAGCAUUUCAUAUGUAACCAUUUGAAUGUUUUUGCUGUUUUUAGAAUUCAGAACCCUGGUUGGGGGGGUGGGAGGCGCCUGGGAGGUGGGGUAAGAAGAGCUUCCAUUUGUUCAGUAGAUUGCACGUUAGUGGGUGGUCGUGCCAGGGGCAGCUGCUGAUAAGUUUGUGACAACUAGCCCCAGUCUGUGUUGCCUGGGUGCUCACUCAGAGAGGCUGUUAUCCAGGAGCCCGUGCUCCUGGGUCCCUGAGGGUCAUGUCUGGUCCCUGGCCAGUCCCCUCUGACUGAGGCCUCUCCUCUCUGCCCUUCCCUGCCUCAUUCCCACCCAUCUGGCCGGGGCUAGUGCCCAUUUUUAACCCUACCCAUUGAUCAUUUCAAGAAAACCUCUGUUUACUGUGCAGCACCCAGGCAAAACAUGUUCCACAAAUUCAACUUGUAUAUUUGGCAGAUUAAACUUGACAUUAUCGU